CCUCUCUCUCUCUUGUCUCUCCUCUCUUUUCUUUCCCUGUUUUCACUCCGCCCGCCCUCCCUUUCAUAUCUGUUUCUCUCUGUGGUUCCCCACAGGCCCUUUCAAGUGAAUCGUUUGAGAGGCUCUGGUGUUUAUAAGUCGACCUGGCGGCACUACAAGACGACACCCGAAGCCGACGACUGGAGCGACCCCGUCAGCGAAUCCAGGGACGCUUCCAAAUACAAGGCCGACCCGUACGGGAUCUCCGUUCUUCAGAUGGGCGAACUGAGGUACGGGGAAGUGAAAGCGACUUGCCCUGGGCCACACAACAGACCAGCGGCGGGGCACCCGGGACCUGCUGACUCUCGGGCCCCGGCUCUAUCCGCUUCGCCGUGCUGCUUCUCCUAAAGAACAUUCCAGGGAUUAAAACAGUCGACAAGUA